AAUAGCUCAAGGAUAGUUACACAUAGGAUUCUAAUUGAAGGUCAGCUUGUACUACUUGGUUGACUACCUAAAGAGUGAGAUUUUUUGAGGGAUGCAGAACAUCCUCUUCCCCCCAAAUUCCUCCAUUAGCCUGCUUAGCGCUGUAUUAUUGAUCCUCCUUGAAAAGACAAAUUUUAGCUAGGUUUAGGAGUUGUGUUUCUUGGCAGAUGUUAUCUGGUAACUAACGUCUGCCAUUUUUAUGUUGCAAAUAUUCCUAAGGGAGUGGGAUAUAUCUGUAGAACAGACUCACUUUGAGCCAAACUGCCUGCAUUUGAACUCUAGCUCCAC
rnacentral:lncRNA from 10 species